rnacentral:rRNA from 1 species
GUAGUCCACGCCGUAAACGAUGGGUACUAGGUGUAGGGGGGUCCCCCCUCUGUGCCGCAGUUAACACAUUAAGUACCCCGCCUGGGGAGUACGAUCGCAAGAUUAAAACUCAAAGGAAUUGACGGGGGCCCGCACAAGCAGCGGAGCAUGUGGUUUAAUUCGAAGCAACGCGAAGAACCUUACCAAGGCUUGACAUCCAAAGAAUCCACGAGAGAUCGAGGAGUGCCCUUCGGGGAACUUUGAGACAGGUGGUGCAUGGUUGUCGUCAGCUCGUGUCGUGAGAUGUUGGGUUAAGUCCCGCAACGAGCGCAACCCUUGUUGUUAGUUGCUACCAUUAAGUUGAGCACUCUAACGAGACUGCCGAGGUUAACUCGGA